AGACCGCCUCCUGCGCUCAGGUAGCACAGAGCGCCGCUCCUGGAGGACUGCAGCUCCACGUCCGCUCUGACGGAGACACAGCGACAUGGUGGAAAUUAGCACCAGAGCUACCGGACCGGUAGAACUUUGCAUCUUUCCUUUCAGCUUCAUGUAUUUUGUACUUUGUCCCCAUUUUAAAGAAAUAAAUCGUAAAUAUUUAUGGUUA